UGCAUUCACUACUGUAAGUCACUCUGGAUAAGAGUGUCUGCUGAAUGAUGUAAA
rfam:Salmo salar isolate Sally breed double haploid chromosome ssa10, whole genome shotgun sequence.